AUUGAACGCUGGCGGCAUGCUUUACACAUGCAAGUCGAACGGUAACAGGUUAAGCUGACGAGUGGCGAACGGGUGAGUAACGCAUCGGAACGUGCCCGAUCGUGGGGGAUAACGCAGCGAAAGCUGCGCUAAUACCGCAUAAGAUCCGAGGAUGAAAGCGGGGGACUUUAUAGCAAUAUGAGGCCUCGCGCGAUCGGAGCGGCCGAUGUCAGAUUAGGUAGUUGGCGGGGUAAAGGCCCACCAAGCCGACGAUCUGUAGCUGGUCUGAGAGGACGACCAGCCACACUGGGACUGAGACACGGCCCAGACUCCUACGGGAGGCAGCAGUGGGGGAAUUUUGGACAAUGGGCGCAAGCCUGAUCCAGCAAUGCCGCGUGCAGGAAGAAGGCCUUCGGGUUGUAAACUGCUUUUGUACGGAGCGAAAAGGUCUUCUCUAAUAAAGAAGGCUGAUGACGGUACCGUAAGAAUAAGCACCGGCUAACUACGUGCCAGCAGCCGCGGUAAAAC
rnacentral:rRNA from 1 species